UACAGAGGUCUCAAGCGUUGUUCGGAUUUAUUGGGCGUAAAGGGUGCGUAGGCGGCGAGGCAAGUCGGAUGUGAAAUCCCGGGGCUUAACCCCGGAACUGCAUUCGAUACUGCCUUGCUCGAGUACUGGAGAGGAGACUGGAAUUUACGGUGUAGCAGUGAAAUGCGUAGAUAUCGUAAGGAAGACCAGUGGCGAAGGCGAGUCUCUGGACAGUUACUGACACUGAGGCACGAAGGCCAGGGGAGCAAACGGG
rnacentral:rRNA from 1 species